AAUACCCUAUUAUUUUAAAAGUAAUUAAUUAAAUCUAAUUAGUAAUAGUUAAGUUCUUGAAAAUUAAAGAAUUUGGCGGUAUUUUAGUCUAUUCAGAGGAAUCUGUCCUAUAAUUGAUAAUCCACGAUUUUUUAUACCUAAAUUAAUAAUUUACAUAUCGCCGUAGUUUGAAUAUUUUUUUAAAAUUAUAAUAUUCAAAAUUUAUUCUUAUAAAAAAAAUCAGGUCAAGGUGUAGUUUAUAUUUAGGGAGAGAUGGGUUACAAUAAAAAUAUUUAUUAUGGAUUAAUUAAUUAAAUUUUUUUAUGAAAGUGGAUUUGAAAGUAAUUUUAUUUA
rnacentral:rRNA from 1 species